rnacentral:rRNA from 1 species
GACGAACGCUGGCGGCGUGCUUAACACAUGCAAGUCGAACGGAAAGGCCCUGCUUUUGUGGGGUGCUCGAGUGGCGAACGGGUGAGUAACACGUGAGUAACCCGCCCUUGACUUAGGGAGAACUUCUGGAAACUCGGGCUAAUACCGGAUAGGAGCUCCUGCUGCAUGGUGGGGGUUGGAAAGUUUCGGCGGUUGGGGCUGGACUCGCGGCGUAUCAGCUGGUUGGUGGGGUAGUGGCUUACCAAGGCUUUGACGGGUAGCCGGCCUGAGAGGGUGACCGGCCACAUGGGGACUGAGAUACGGCCCAGACUCCUACGGGAGGCAGCAGUGGGGAAUAUUGCACAAUGGGCGGAAGCCUGAUGCAGCAACGCCGCGUGCGGGAUGACGGCCUUCGGGUUGUAAACCGCUUUCGCCUGUGACGAAGCGUGAGUGACGGUAAUGGGUAAAGAAGCACCGGCUAACUACGUG